GGAGGAGUGGCAGAGUGGUCGAAUGCACUGGUCUUGAAAACCAGCGAACGUUAACGCGUUCCGUGGGUUCGAAUCCCACCUCCUCCGCCA
rnacentral:tRNA from 2 species